ensembl:lncRNA
UUGUGCAACCCAGCUAGAAAUCACAUGUUUUAAUUAGCUGCCUCUUUAUUAUUAUUAUUUUUUUUUAAGAAUACCUCACCAAAUUGAGUAGUAAUCACAACUUUUUGCACCGCUUUUCUGAUUUAAUAGGCUAGGUACUUACAGAUAACUAGCUAGGUACCAUUUCGACCCCGUGUGGACGUCGGCAGCGCUGGAUGUUUUUCAGCCAAGACGGGAGCUGUUUGUUAUCGGCGUGAGGUUCAUGUUAGGAGAUGGGGGACCUUUAUGACCCAGAGCACCCGAAAGAGUGUGACAUCACGUUGGAGAGCUCACUGCUCUGAACUGGUUUAUUCUUGGCCAGCAGCUUCUACUGGGCUACAAACGCCAGAACCACUGUGUAAUGGAUGCUCUGGUGAACUCAGAGAUCAGGGAAGAGGGAGGCGAUACCUCGG